rnacentral:rRNA from 1 species
CCCCAGUAAACGGCGGCCGUAACUAUAACGGUCCUAAGGUAGCGAAAUUCCUUGUCGGGUAAGUUCCGACCCGCACGAAAGGCGUAACGAUUUGGGCACUGUCUCAACAACAGACUCGGUGAAAUUGUAAUUCCGGUGAAGAUGCCGGAUACCUGCGACAGGACGGAAAGACCCCAUGGAGCUUUACUGUAGCUUGACAUUGGGUCUUGGUACUACAUGUACAGGAUAGGUGGGAGGCUUUGAAACCAGGACGCCAGUUUUGGCGGAGCCAUCCUUGGGAUACCACCCUUGUA